GUGGGGGAGUACAGACUGGAAUAAGCUAGUUGUGGGAAAGCUUUCUCCAUGGAUUCAUCCAGACUCAAAAGUGGAGAAGAUCCAAAGGAACUCAGAGGCGGCUAUGUUGCAGGAGCUGAAUUUUGGGGCAUAUCUGGGUCUUCCAGCUUUCCUAUUGCCUCUUAAUCAGGAAGAUAACACAAAUCUGGCCAGAGUUCUGACCAACCACAUCCACACUGGCCACCACUCUUCCAUGUUCUGGAUGAGGGUACCCUUAGUGGCCCCAGAGGACCUGAGAGAUGAUGUAAUUGAGAAUGCACCAACUACACACAGGGAGAAAUACAGUGGAGAAGAGAAGACAUGGAUGUGGUGGCAUAACUUUCGGACUCUCUAUGACUAUAGCAAGAGAAUUGCAGUAGCCCUUGAAAUUGGAGCCGACCUCACGUCAUUGAUCAUUGGCUUGGAGAGCCCAUCAAAGCAGCCAUUCUCCCCACCAGCAUUUACCUAACCAACAAGAAGGGAUUUCCUGUUCUUUCUAAGGUGCAGCAGAGGUUAAUCUUCCGGCUCCUCAAGUUGGAAGUGCAGUUUAUCAUCACGGGAACCAACCACCACUCAGAGAAGGAGUUCUGCUCCCACCUCCAGUACUUGGAAUACUUAAGCCCUCCACCCAAUGCUUAUGAACUCUUUGCCAAAGGCUAUGAAGACUAUAUGAAGUCCCCACUUCAGCCCCUGAUGGACAAUCUAGAAUCUCAGACAUACAAAGUGUUUGAAAAGGACCCCAUCAAAUACUCUCAAUAUCAGCAGGCUAUCUAUAAAUGUUUGCUAGACCGAGUACCAGAAGGAGAAAAGGAGACCAAUGUCCAAGUACUUAUGGUGCUGGGUGCAGGCCGGGGUCCUCUAGUGAAUUCGUCUCUCCGGGCAGCCACGCAGGCCGAGCAUUGGAUCAGGCUGUAUGCCUUGGAGAAGAACCCCAAUGCUGUGGUGACGCUAGAGAACUGGCAGUUUGAAGAAUGGGGGAGCCAGAUGACAGUUGUCUCAUCAGACAUGCGGGAACGGGUGGCUCCGGAGAAAGCAGACAUUGUCAGUGAGCUUCUGGGUUCCUUUGCUGACAAGAGCUGUCACCUGAGUGUAUGGAUGGAGCACAGCACUUCCUGAAAGAUGAUGGUGUGAGCAGCUCUGGAGAAUACACCACCUUCCUGGCUCCCAUUUCUUCCUCUAAGUUGUACAACGAGGUCCGUGCCUGUCGGGAAAAGGACCGUGACCCUGAGGCACAGUUUGAGAUGCCUUAUGUGGUUCGGCUGCACAACUUUCACCAGCUCUCUUCUCCUCAGCCCUGCUUUACCUUCAGCCAUCCCAACCGAGAUCCUAUGAUUGACAACAACCGCUACUGUACCUUGGAGUUUCCUGUGGAGGUGAACACGGUGCUUCAUGGCUUUGCAGGCUACUUUGAGACUGUGCUUUACCGGGACAUCACUCUGAGUAUCCGCCCAGAGACUCACUCUCCCGGGAUGUUCUCAUGGUUCCCCAUCUUCUUCCCCAUCAAGCAGCCCAUCACAGUGCAGGAAGGACAGAACAUCUGUGUGCGUUUCUGGCGAUGCAGCAAUUCUACGAAGAUGUGGUAAGAGUGGGCCGUGACGGCCCCAGUCUGUUCUUCUAUUCACAACCCUACCGGCCGCUCCUAUACCAUUGGUCUCUAG